GAUGAACGCUGGCGGCGUGCUUAACACAUGCAAGUCGAACGAAGCAUUUAGGACAGAUUACUUCGGUUUGAAGUUCUUUAUGACUGAGUGGCGGACGGGUGAGUAACGCGUGGGUAACCUGCCUUGUACUGGGGGAUAGCAGCUGGAAACGGCUGGUAAUACCGCAUAAGCGCACAAUGUUGCAUGACAUGGUGUGAAAAACUCCGGUGGUAUAAGAUGGACCCGCGUCUGAUUAGCUAGUUGGUGAGAUAACAGCCCACCAAGGCGACGAUCAGUAGCCGACCUGAGAGGGUGACCGGCCACAUUGGGACUGAGACACGGCCCAGACUCCUACGGGAAGCAGCAGUGGGGAAUAUUGCACAAUGGAGGAAACUCUGAUGCAGCGACGCCGCGUGAGUGAAGAAGUAAUUCGUUAUGUAAAGCUCUAUCAGCAGGGAAGAUAGUGACGGUACCUGACUAAGAAGCUCCGGCUAAAUACGUG
rnacentral:rRNA from 1 species